rnacentral:rRNA from 1 species
UACGUAGGGUGCAAGCGUUAAUCGGAAUUACUGGGCGUAAAGCGUGCGCAGGCGGUUAUAUAAGACAGUUGUGAAAUCCCCGGGCUCAACCUGGGAACUGCAUCUGUGACUGCAUCGCUGGAGUACGGUAGAGGGGGAUGGAAUUCCGCGUGUAGCAGUGAAAUGCGUAGAUAUGCGGAGGAACACCGAUGGCGAAGGCAAUCCCCUGGACCUGUACUGACGCUCAUGCACGAAAGCGUGGGGAGCAAACAGG